UGAUUAGUUUUAAACUUUUAAUGUAGAUUUUUAUUAUUAUAUUUAGGAAUAGCUUUAAAAGUUAUUUCAUUAAUUUUUAUUAUCACUUACCUAAACAUUCCUGAUAUUCUUUUUUUUAAUUUUUAAAACUUGAGAGAUUUUGAAAAAUUUUUAUUUACCAGUUAUGUAUGUAGGUUAUAUACAUUUUUAAAUAGUAAUUAAAAAAUGAGUUUAAAUUUGCCAUCAGUUGCCACCAAAUUUUUCUUUUCAUAUUAAUUUUUUUUUUUAUAUAUUUGUGAAUAUCUGUACAUGUAUAUCUGUGUGUGUAUGUGUUUGUUUUACUUUGCUCAUCUUUUAUAUAUUUUAAAACACUAUAUCAUAUAUUGGAGAGAAUAUAUAUAAAUGUGAAAUCCAUAUUUCUUCAAUGCUUUAUAGUAAGUGAUCAUCUUUGACAAUGUUUUGUCCUUUAGUGACAAGUUUACACAUGUAUUUCUGUAGUGGCUGUGUGUAUGUGUUUGAAAUUGAUGCAUCUUUAAGUGAAAUUUACAUAACUUCAUGACCAUGUGUUUCAAAGUCAGUUCAGCAGUACUGGUUUUGCAUAGUGUUCAAAUGAAAUAAAUAUUUAUGG
rnacentral:sRNA from 1 species